rnacentral:rRNA from 1 species
AUUGAACGCUGGCGGCAUGCCUAACACAUGCAAGUCGAACGGCAGCACGGGAGCUUGCUCUUGGUGGCGAGUGGCGGACGGGUGAGUAAUGCAUAGGAAUCUGCCCAGUAGCGGGGGACAACUUGGGGAAACUCAAGCUAAUACCGCAUGCGCCCUACGGGGGAAAGCGGGGGACCUUCGGGCCUCGCACUAUUGGAUGAGCCUAUGUCAGAUUAGCUUGUUGGUGGGGUAACGGCCUACCAAGGCGACGAUCUGUAGCUGGUCUGAGAGGACGAUCAGCCACACUGGGACUGAGACACGGCCCAGACUCCUACGGGAGGCAGCAGUGGGGAAUAUUGCACAAUGGGCGAAAGCCUGAUGCAGCAAUGCCGCGUGUGUGAAGAAGGCCUGCGGGUUGUAAAGCACUUUCAGUAGGGAGGAAACAGUAGCCGGUUAAUAUCCGGUUGCCUUGACGUUACCUACAGAAGAAG